rnacentral:rRNA from 1 species
GACGAACGCUGGCGGCGUGCUUAACACAUGCAAGUCGAACGCUGAAGCACCAGCUUGCUGGUGUGGAUGAGUGGCGAACGGGUGAGUAAUACGUGAGUAACCUGCCCUUGACUCUGGGAUAAGCCCGGGAAACUGGGUCUAAUACUGGAUGCUACAUGUCACCGCAUGGUGGUGUGUGGAAAGGGUUUACUGGUCUUGGAUGGGCUCACGGCCUAUCAGCUUGUUGGUGAGGUAAUGGCUCACCAAGGCGACGACGGGUAGCCGGCCUGAGAGGGUGACCGGCCACACUGGGACUGAGACACGGCCCAGACUCCUACGGGAGGCAGCAGUGGGGAAUAUUGCACAAUGGGCGAAAGCCUGAUGCAGCGACGCCGCGUGAGGGAUGACGGCCUUCGGGUUGUAAACCUCGUUCAGCAGGGAAGAAGCCACAAGUGACAGUACCUGCAGAAGAAGCGCCGGCUAACUACGUG